UACGAAAGGGGCUAGCGUUGUUCGGAAUUACUGGGCGUAAAGCGCACGUAGGCGGCCUUGUAAGAUGGGGGUGAAAUCCCCGGGCUCAACCCGGGAAUUGCCUUCAUGACUGCAAAGCUCGAGGAUGCGAGAGGUGAAUGGAAUUCCGAGUGUAGAGGUGAAAUUCGUAGAUAUUCGGAAGAACGCCAGUGGCGAAGGCGAUUCACUGGCGCAUUGCUGACGAUGAGGUGCGAAAGAGUGGGGAGCAAACAGG
rnacentral:rRNA from 1 species